UGGAGUCUCACUGCUGAGGAGCUUAUGGAGAAAAACUGUCCCUGUGAAGGAGAAGAUUGAGGAAAUACACUCUGGUCCCUGCUCCCUGCUCCUGGCCUGGUUGUUGCUGCCACCUCUCUUGGACGCUGGCCCGUCCCAGCCAGGUACACCACACUCUGGAGUGGACAGACACCAUGAGGGUGAUGGACUGAACAACAUCUUCAUCUUCCAGCUCCUUUAGCCUGUCAUUUUGCCUCUGCUAGGUACUGCAGAACUUUGAUGAGCAGCAAAUGGCAGCUGCAAAAUAAGAAAGAAGCAGUGAACUUCAUUACCAGCAGUUUUGGGGGGCAGAAAUCAGAAACA
rnacentral:lncRNA from 1 species